UACGGGGGGGGCAAGCGUUGUUCGGAAUUACUGGGCGUAAAGGGCGCGUAGGCGGUUUGCUAAGUUGGAUGUGAAAACUCUGGGCUUAACCCAGAGCCUGCAUCCAAAACUGGCAAACUUGAGUACUGGAGGGGAAAGCGGAAUUCCUGGUGUAGCGGUGAAAUGCGUAGAUAUCAGGAGGAACACCGGCGGUGUAGACGGCUUACUAGACCACCCCUGACGCUGAGGCACGAAAGCGUGGGUAGCAAACAGG
rnacentral:rRNA from 1 species